AUUGAACGCUGGCGGCAGGCCUAACACAUGCAAGUCGAGCGGAUGAAGGGAGCUUGCUCCUGGAUUCAGCGGCGGACGGGUGAGUAAUGCCUAGGAAUCUGCCUGGUAGUGGGGGAUAACGUCCGGAAACGGGCGCUAAUACCGCAUACGUCCUGAGGGAGAAAGUGGGGGAUCUUCGGACCUCACGCUAUCAGAUGAGCCUAGGUCGGAUUAGCUAGUUGGUGGGGUAAAGGCCUACCAAGGCGACGAUCCGUAACUGGUCUGAGAGGAUGAUCAGUCACACUGGAACUGAGACACGGUCCAGACUCCUACGAGAGGCAGCAGUGGGGAAUAUUGGACAAUGGGCGAAAGCCUGAUCCAGCCAUGCCGCGUGUGUGAAGAAGGUCUUCGGAUUGUAAAGCACUUUAAGUUGGAAGGAAGGGCAGUAAGUUAAUACCUUGCUGUUUUGACGUUACCAACAGAAUAAGCACCGGCUAACUUCGUG
rnacentral:rRNA from 1 species